GAUUAACGCUGGCGGCGUGCAUAACACAUGCAAGUCGAACGAUGAAACUUAAAUGAUUUCUUCGGAAUGAACUUAAGUGGAUUAGUGGCGGACGGGUGAGUAACGCGUGAGUAACCUGCCUUACACAAGGGGAUAGCCGUUGGAAACGACGAAUAAUACCCUAUGAAACUAUCACUUCGCAUGAAGCGAUAGUCAAAGUGUUAGCGGUGUAAGAUGGACUUGCGUCUGAUUAGCUAGUUGGUGAGAAAAAAGCCCACCAAGGCAACGAGCAGUAGCCGGCGUGAGAGAGUGUACGGCCACAUUGAGACUGAGACACGGCCCAGACGCCUACGAGAGGCAGCAGAGGUGAAUUAUGCGCAAUGGGGGAAACCCUGAUGCAGCGACGCCGCGUGAUUUAGAAGGGCUUCGGGUUGUAAAAAUCUUUUGUAUAGAGAGAAAAUGACAGUACUAUACGAAUAAGGUCCGGCUAAUUACGUG
rnacentral:rRNA from 1 species